rnacentral:rRNA from 1 species
AGUGAACGCUGGCGGUAGGCCUAACACAUGCAAGUCGAACGGCAGCACAGUAAGAGCUUGCUCUUACGGGUGGCGAGUGGCGGACGGGUGAGGAAUACAUCGGAAUCUACUUUUUCGUGGGGGAUAACGUAGGGACACUUACGCUAAUACCGCAUACGAUCUACGGGUGAAAGCAGGGGAUCUUCGGACUUUGCGCGAUUGAAUGAGCCGAUGUCGGAUUAGCUAGUUGGCGGGGUAAAGGCCCACCAAGGCGACGAUCCGUAGCUGGUCUGAGAGGAUGAUCAGCCACACUGGAACUGAGACACGGUCCAGACUCCUACGGGAGGCAGCAGUGGGGAAUAUUGGACAAUGGGCGCAAGCCUGAUCCAGCCAUGCUGCGUGGGUGAAGAAGGCCUUCGGGUUGUAAAGCCCUUUUGUUGGGAAAGAAAAGCAGCAGGUUAAUACCCCGCUGUUCUGACGGUACCCAAAGAAUAAGCACCGGCUAACUUCGUG